GAGAAACUUAAAGAGAUACAAAGAAACAGACCAGUGUAGAUCACAACAGAUGCUUGUCAGAGAGGCAUGCUUCCCUCACAGAAAUCCAAAUGACUUAAGUUACUAGAAAGAUAUCACCUGGGAAUUCUUAUUUCUGUAAGGUAUGCCUAUGCGCCAGAAGAGGACAUCAAAUCCCAUUAUUGAUGACUGUGAGCAGCCAUGUGGUUGCUGGGACUUGAAUUCAGGACCUCUGGAAGAGCAGCUGGUGCUCUUAACUGCUGAGCCACAAAACCAACGAAAACACAAGUAAUUCUUCAAAUUCACCCCGCUCAGCCUGUCAUUGUUAAUACUUUGGUUUGUAUGUAUCUUUCUACCAGAAGAAGUUUUAUAUUGAAAAUUUAAUGUUUUCAUUAUAUAGCAAUGUAUCCCAAACAUUUCUCCAUGCCAGUAAAUAAACUUUU
rnacentral:lncRNA from 1 species